AAAUAAUCAACAAUAAUAUUCCAAAAUCAAUAUCUAAAAGAUCAAAACAAUAUCUAAAGUAAUAUUCAAAAAUCAAAUUUAAAAUGUGAAAAAAAAACAAUUCUAAAAUAAGUUCUAAAAUUAAUCUAAUCAAUUUAAUCCUAAAUCUAAUAUUAAUCUAAUUAAUCUAUACUAUCCUAAAAUUCUAAAAAAUCUAAUUCUAAAAUUAAGAUUUUAGUUAACCGCUAAUCAUGAUAUUCUAAUUAUCCUUAACCUCUAAUUCAUCUAAUCAUAAUCCUAAUCCAAUCAAAUCUAAUCCUAUAUGCAAAAUAUAAAGUUAUCAAAGAAAGAGAAGAGAUGAAGGGGAGGUUCAAUCAUACGGGCCAAAAGUAGGACGAAUUCAGUUUGGGCCCUUUGGCCCAAACGACCACGAAUUCAUCAUGUCCAUGGAACAGAGUGAAGUCCAAUCCGAUAAGCAGUGCAAAUUGGAACCAGAGAAAAGGCUUCUCCGAUAAGCCAACGCACUUGCAACCUCCUCUUUCGGCUUCUUCUCUUCUCAUCCUUCAUCACGGAAUGAAAAGCUCCUUGUGUUGCGUCACCGUCCUCGCGAUGCUACGUCCAAAAUGUUUCAGGAAAACGCAAGCAUGAUGUCACGGAAUGAAAAGCUCCUUGUGUUGCGUCACCGUCCUCGCGAUGCUACGUCCAAAAUGUUUCAGGAAAACGCAAGCAUGAUGUCGCUCUAUUCUUCUUCACCAGAUGCAAAAUCGGAGAUGAAGCGAGUCAAAUUCAAUUCAAUCUCCAAUUAUCAAUGAUCUUGCAGGUAUUGUUGGUUUAGAGCUGAUGUUCCUUUUCUAUCAACGUUGGACUUAUUCUGAAUUGAACUAUUUGGGAUUCAAUGAUUAUCCAAUCUGUUUCUGAGUUGGCUUAGCUUUGAUUAAAAUAUUGAUUAUAAGUUUGAAUUUCUGCUAUGAUCGCCCCAUUUUAUUUACUAGCUUCUGCGAAUUCUGUUAGCCUCUUUAUUGAACUUGCAAGUUUUGGUGGUACAUUUGAUUAGAACCUCGAUAGUCUCUACAUUAUUCGAUGGAUACCAACUCGCAGAUAUUCCAGGUUGAAGGUUCUUAUAAUCACCUCCAACAGACACAAAACGAGCAUCAGCCUUAGCAGGUGGGGGUGACACUUGCAACGGUGAUGUCAAUGUACAAGAAACAGAAGGAUUAGAUCCUGCACCAGAGCACUUUUGUCAAUUGGUAUAGUGGCCUGUUGUGGCUUUACCCAAUCAAACUUAGGUGGUAUUCUCUUUAGAGGUUGCAUAUUUUAUUACUGGAAUCUGAAGAUACUCCAUUCGUUAUUGCUUCUUUUGUAUCUUUGUCAUCUAUUCUGUGUUGGUUCGGAGAAGGAACGGGUUUGGUUUGUGACCUUGGGUUGUUGUAAUUUUGUUGGAUAUUCUUUUGCAGGAUUUAUGUUGAAUGAGUGUGAAUUGAGUUUCAAUGUAAAAAAAUGAAUGUGGUUAUGGGCUAUGUGAUGGUUUGAAAUUGUUGUAAUUUUUAAAAUGAAACAUGUGAAUUGGUUUGAACAUUGUAAUUGGAAUUGUGUAUGUUAGGAUGUGAAUUGGAAUCAAUGGUUUAUGUAUAGCAAAUGGAAUUUUGAAUGUAAUUGGGUCGUUAAUGCAAAUGAAUUAAAUUAUUUAUGGGAUUUUGAAUGUUGUAAUGAAUCAAGGUUUAUGCCUUGGUUGACAUUGAUACAAGCAUGAUAGGAAAGAAAGACUUGG
rnacentral:lncRNA from 1 species